rnacentral:lncRNA from 1 species
CAGGUGGGACAGGAGGAGUUAAGGUCCCUUGGGGCAGGGAGGGUGGGGGGUUGCUGGAGAAGCUGAAAGGGGUGGGUGGGUGUGCUGAACAGUGUCCAUUCCUGCCAGUGACCUCUCCCUCAUGGCCCUUCUCUCGAGGUUCCCUGUGGUGUCGUCCAGGGUUCCUGCCUCGGGGAUGGAGCCUCCCCACCCAGAACAAGAGAAAACCCAGGAGGCCGUGUUCAGCAUUUGAGUUUCAAAUUCAACUCUUGAAACGUCCCGGAAGAGGCGGCAUGUGGGAAAAGGUCUUGCUGUCUUUAAAGGCUCAACUUCUGUGUCCCCAAUGUGACAAACACAUUUGCGCCACAAGCAACCGAUCUGGGAGGAAUGCAGGCUGGACCUGAGAGGCAGUUUUCCAGCCUCAACUCUAUAAACACUCCACAAGCGGGAGAGGCGGGGAGGAGAGCCGCAGGCAGUGACUGAGCCCGGCCGUGCAGCCGGGGUGUGGUCCUGCGGGGCUGGAGACAGUGUGCCUUCCAGAGGCACCGCGAGGCUCUGUAGAGGAGGGAUUCCUCUGGAGGGUGCUGUGCUUGGUGACAGUCUUUGAGGACUCUCCUGGGAGGCUGCGAUGCCUUGCUCUUGGAGAUGCUGCCCUUUCUUGGGGGCCAGAGGCUGCAGAGGGGCAGAGCAGGGCAUGCCACAUGCCAAAAGAACCUGGGGGCCGAUGAAGGGCUCCUGCACCAUGAGAGAGCUGGCCAGGGUCAGGUGACAUCCUGUCCACAGGACACUCAGUAGAAAGAAGCCGGAGACGCAGCUUCAACCCAGGGUGGGGCCAGGUGAGGCCCGCUUGUCUCUGCCGAGAGGACCGAGAGGACCCAGGCAGGAAACGCUCUGGGGUGGGGGCGGGGUUCUCCAAAGGCCUCGAAGCUGAAUUGUCAGUGUUUUGGGUUAGACACGAGGGGUCCCCAGAUGCCCACGUGUGAGACGAUCUAAGAAUGUUCAGAGGCAAAGUGAUUAAUCCACUGAUACGGAUUAACGGGGUGAUAAUGAAGGCAGCUGGGGUGUGGCUGAGGAGGUGGGACACGGGGUGUGCCUUUGGGGCUUCUGUUUCGUCCCUGGUGAGGGGACUCUGUGUCCCUGGUCCACGUCCUGAGCUCCUCUGCCUCGCCCCUGUGUCAUGGUGUCUGCUU